rnacentral:rRNA from 1 species
AGAGUUUGAUCCUGGCUCAGGAUGAACGCUAGCGGCAGGCCUAAUACAUGCAAGUCGAACGGUGAUAGCAAUAUCAUAGUGGCGCACGGGUGCGUAACACGUAUGCAACCUACCUUAUACUGAGGGAUAGCCUUUCGAAAGGGAGAUUAAUACCUCAUAACACAUUGAACUGGCAUCAGUUUAUUGUUAAAGAUUUAUUGGUAUAAGAUGGGCAUGCGUCCAAUUAGUUAGUUGGCGAGGUAACGGCUCACCAAGACGAUGAUUGGUAGGGGAACUGAGAGGUUAAUCCCCCACACUGGCACUGAGAUACGGGCCAGACUCCUACGGGAGGCAGCAGUAGGGAAUAUUGGGCAAUGGAGGCAACUCUGACCCAGCCAUGCCGCGUGCAGGAAGAAGGCGUUAUGCGUUGUAAACUGCUUUUAUAUAGGAAGAAAUAGACCUUGCGAGGUAAGUUGACGGUACUAUAUGAAUAAGCACCGGCUAACUCCGUGCCAGCAGCCGCGGUAAUACGGAGGGUGCAAGCGUUGUCCGG